rnacentral:rRNA from 1 species
GACGAACGCUGGCGGCGUGCCUAACACAUGCAAGUCGAGCGAUGAAAUUAGAAACGGAGUCUUCGGACGAAGUGGAAAAUGGAUUAGCGGCGGACGGGUGAGUAACACGUGAGCAACCUGCCUAUCACAUCGGGAUAGCCUCGGGAAACUGGGAUUAAUACCGAAUGAAACAUAAUCACUGCCCAGUGGAAAUGUCAAAGAUUUAUCGGUGAUAGAUGGGCUCGCGUCUGAUUAGCUAGUUGGUGAGGUAAUGGCUCACCAAGGCGACGAUCAGUAGCCGGCCUGAGAGGGUGAACGGCCACAUUGGGACUGAGACACGGCCCAAACUCCUACGGGAGGCAGCAGUGGGGAAUAUUGCACAAUGGAGGGAACUCUGAUGCAGCGACGCCGCGUGAGCGAUGAAGGCUUAGGGUUGUAAAGAUCUUUCAGUGGGGAAGAUAAUGACUGUACCCACAGAAGAAGCCCCGGCUAACUCCGUGCCAGCCGCCGCGGUAA